rnacentral:tRNA from 1 species
GCCUUCGUGGUGUAACGGUAGCACACUCGGCGCGCACUCGAGAUGUCCAGGUUCGAGUCCCGCCAAGGGCA